UACCCCAAGACGUCACUUCCUUUUCACUCUGUAGUCCUCUUCGCUUCUCUCGCUCUCAGCUAAUAGAAAUCUCGACACUCUCUCUCUCUCUCUACUGACGCUGCCUCUGCUUAGGUUACUCUCUAUUUCGAACUUCCCGAGUGUUAGCUUCAUCUGUAAUGUAGUUCGCCAAAUGAUCUGAUCAGAGCUACAAUGGCAAAGUGUCACCGGAACGUUGUCGGAUCCCUAGUUCUAGACCGCCGAGCUGCUACUUCGUCUGCUGGAAGCGGUCAUUUCAGGAUAUGGACUGUUUUCUCUGGUUCUACAUUCCGCCGAAAAAUCUUCGACGCUGUCAGUUGCGGCGGCUCGUCCCGUUUUCGCCACCACCUGGAAGAAGAUAGUGAUGCGGUUUCUACAUCCACGGCCACUACAACCACCACUACUACCACUGCCGAUGUUUGCAGUGGUAGCGACGAGAGAAAGUCAGGGAAGCAAGGUGAAGAGGCGCCGGUUCAUACGAAGUUGAAAGUGAAAUCGGAGAAGUUGUCGGAUCUGCUGAGCUUGACUGAGGCGGAGAAUGACAUGGAGACGAGGAUGAAAGAGGAGGCGUUAGAGGAGUUGAAGCGAGUGGUGAGGGAAUUGCAGUGCGAAGAAGAGGCGAAGAGGAGAAGAGCUGCUAGCGAUGUGAGGCUGCUCGCCAAGGAUGAUUCCGAGGCCAGAGUGAUGCUUGCGAUGCUCGGUGCGAUCCCUCCUUUGGUUGGAUUGCUCGAUUUGGAAGAUCUCGAUGCACAGAUCGCUUCACUCUAUGCUCUGCUCAAUCUCUGCAUCGGCAAUGAUGCAAACAAAGCGGCCAUUGUCCAAGCUGGGGCUGUUCACAAGAUUCUAAAGAUAAUUGAGUCUCCAAAUGCUCCAAAUCCAGCACUAUCAGAGGCAAUAGUGGCAAAUUUUCUAGGCUUGAGUGCAUUGGACUCAAAUAAACCGGUUAUUGGUUCUUCAGGUGCAAUCCCUUUCUUGGUAAAAACUCUCAAGAAUUUAAACAGCCAUUGUAGCCCACAAGCAAAACAAGAUGCUCUUCUGGCUCUAUAUAAUCUUUCCAUAUCCUCAUCAAACAUCUCCUUCAUCAUAGAGACUGAUUUGAUAGCCUUUAUCAUUAAUACAUUGGGGGACAUGGAAGUGAGUGAAAGAAUGCUUUCGAUUUUGAGCAAUGUAGUAUCAGCCGGGGAAGGUCGAAAAGCAAUUAGUAAUACGCCAGAUGCAUUCCCUAUUUUGGUUGACGUCUUGAAUUGGACAGACUCGCCAGGAUGCCAGGAGAAGGCAUCAUACAUUUUUAUGGUGAUGGCGCACAAAUCCUAUGGAGAUAAGCAUGCCAUGAUUGAGGCGGGAAUUGCAUCAUCGUUGCUCGAAUUAACACUUUUGGGUAGUACAUUGGCACAGAAUAGGGCAUCAAGAAUCCUGGAAUGCUUGAGAGUGGAUAAAGGAAAGCAAGUUUCGGAGAAUUAUGGUGGUAAUGUGGGUGCAGUCUUUUCCGCCCCUAUUUGUGGUUCUUCGUCAUCUUCUAUGAAUCCAACUCAAGGUUCAAAUGAAAGUUUGGAAGAGGAUGAAAGUAUGAGUGAAGAGAAGAAGGCAGUGAAGCAUUUAGUCCAACAGAGCCUGCAGAACACUAUGAGGAGAAUUGUGAAGAGGGCCAAUUUGCCACAAGAUUUCGUUCCAUCUGAACAUUUUAAGUCCCUCGCAGCCAGUUCUACAUCAAAAAGCUUACCAUUUUGACAAGAUUGGACUAUUUGGUGCUUGCAUGGACUUUGAAGAGUCAGAAUGUGAAAUGUAGAGAUCGAAGAAGCCAAGCUGUUCCAGCUAAAUUUGUGCUUGUGCCCACUUUCUGCCCAUGAGCAUGAGGUAUGUACAUAUAUAUAUUUCCAGCAAUCUGAACAGAAUGAUUUUCUUUUGGACGUUUUGAUAUUAUUCCUCAUGAUCCCUUGUUCUAUGAUGUCUAUUUGUUCUGAUUGCUGUAAAUAUCAUUUUGUACAAUGAGUGUGUUGUCCUCAUUAAAUUAGUUUUGUUCA